GGAGUGAGCUUGAAGUCGCGUGUUUGCAUUAGUUUUUUGAAGUGCUGUUGGGGUUGGGGCUGCGUGAUCGUCACUGGCGUCCUCCAGAGUGCCCACCGAUCAGAAAGUCGUACGAACCGCAAGCUUUGAACGUCUGUUUAUCGCACCAUCGAAAGCGGCGGCACAGAAGGCGCGAUGUGAGCUCCGGUGGGAACAGCAGCCCUUUGUCUCGUAACGGUGCCGUCCAGACUGGCCAUGAGACCAGCGAGUUUGCUGUAGAAACAGCCAUUUGGGAGUGGCUGCGUCACGCUUCUGCCAGGCACAGAACUGCCAUUGCCAAGGACUGUGCCACUGAACAGCCCGGAUAUGUGUGACAUGGUUCCCUCGGCCUGUUGUACCUUUACCUAUCACCCGCGGCAUCUAGCUGCCAGUGUGACCUUGCUUUCUUCAGCGCUGUGCCACUGAAUAGCCCGGACAUGUCUGACAUGGUCUCCUAGGCCUGCUGUACUUUCACCCAUCACCCGUGGCGUCUAGAUCCAGUGUGCCGAGUUGUCCAAAACUGCCAAGUGCUUUAUGAUGUCACCAAUGUGCCAAAUGCUCUAGUACUAUUAUGUGCUCCGCCACUCUGCCAUGCGCUCUCCACUUCUCCAGUAUAUAAAGUGUCCCAUGGCGUCUCCAUUUGCGAAGUGCAUUACCAAGUCUCCAAGUGCUCCAGUACUGUGUUAUGUGCUCCGCUGCUGUGCCGAGUGCUCUCCGUUUAUGCAGUAUACCAAGUGCCCAUUGCGUCUCCGCAUUUUACCAAGUGCUCCAAUAUUGUCAACUGCUUGACCACGUCUGGAAUGUGCCAUGUACUCCACUGCUGUGCCAAGUGUAUACUUUGUAAAUGAUAUACAUGUCUUAAGUUCAACCAAUACCUCUAUUGCAUAACUUAUCCAUACAGUGGGUCUUCACAUAGACUUCUAAGUCAGUAUGUACACAUAUUGUAGAGUUGUGUUACUGUUUCUGUAGAGUAGAUGUGGGUCAACAUGCUUUUUUUUUCUUCAUAGAAGGCUACAGUGCGGAACCAACAAAGACAAGGAACACAGACACAGUGCUGACUUUCAACAAGAAUCAGCUUUCUGAAAGUCAGUGCUGUGUCUGUUCUUUGUGUGCCUCUCCUGUCUUCGUCGGUUUCGUGCCAUGGCCUUCUACGAUGUUCAACCAACAAGCCCAACUGGUUACUCUGCUCAAAUGUUUUUUCUACCACUCUUGGCACCUUUGUGCUGUUUCCUAUAUCAAGUGCCCAGCUUGCUGCUGCCAUUGAUGUCAUCAUUGCCAAAACAGCUUUCAUAAAUAACAGCAUAAAUUUGGACAGCACAAUAUUAUUUUUAAAUUUUCAUUUCAUUCUAAUAUAUAAAGAAGAUUGUACUUAUUUGUUUAUUUCUACUCACAUUCUGCAGAUAUCACAAGGACCAUGCAUUGCGUUUAAUGUUUUACUCCCAGAAGAUGUGUGCAUCACUCCUGGAAGUUUGUAGUUUGUGUAUUUCUAGUCAGGUUUUGUGGAUUUUGCUUCGACCAACUUUCUAGUCACAUUUCGCAGAUUUUACUUGCACAUCUAUUGAUUUUAUUGUUUUACUUGCACAUGAAUUGUCUGCAUUUUGACAAGGUCACAAAUAUAUCUGAGAAAAUAUUGAGCUUUAUGCUGCCAGAUGUAAGAGUUGCGUGUUCAAAGGAACUCUUGUUAAAGUUCAUGCUAUUCAUCGCUUCGACAUUUCAGGUCUCUCUGUUCAUCUUAGUAUUUUUUUAUGCAAUAUUGUCUUAGCUGCGUUUUGUGUAUGGUAUAACAAGGAUUCCUCAGCGAGAGCUUGUGGUAUACUUUGCAAGGGCAUGAUUUAGGGAUUUAUUGCUCUGGUUUAGUUCUAUAUUUUCUAAGCAACAAUAUCCUAAGAUUCUGUAUGAUAUAGGUCUCAUUUUUGCUGUUCAACAUAGCUUUCAUUUUGUUAAACAUAUCCUGAAUAAAAGCUUGAGAUACUCUUUGAGGAUAUACACGUGAGUUUAUUUUAGUUGUAUUUUUCUAUGAAAGAUUACUUUAUUAUGUGUAAUGUUUGUUCUAAAAUAAAGUUUUGCUGUGGAACCAAUGUUUGAAGGCUGGUAUCAUUUUUCUAUCAGGUGAAAAAGACACUACACGAUUGCCGCACAUGCUGGGGAAUGUAUAAAAUUACAUCUUGGGCACGUAUUUAUAACGUAUUUCGGCUCAAAACUAAUAUCCAAACAAUGUAACAAAUGUCCAGCAAUUACAUCCAUAUAACAUCUUUUCGACGUAAAAAAAGAGGACUUUUGACAGUACCACCUACGUAGAUUUUACGUAAACUAGAUCUAUUUGAACCUCUAAUAGAGGUAUUGAAUGUCCAACUGAAAUAUCUAAUGGACAUCCAGGCAAUGUUUAUG